rnacentral:rRNA from 1 species
AUGAACGCUGGCGGCGUGCCUAAUACAUGCAAGUCGAGCGAACAGACGAGGAGCUUGCUCCUCUGACGUUAGCGGCGGACGGGUGAGUAACACGUGGAUAACCUACCUAUAAGACUGGGAUAACUUCGGGAAACCGGAGCUAAUACCGGAUAAUAUAUUGAACCGCAUGGUUCAAUAGUGAAAGACGGUUUUGCUGUCACUUAUAGAUGGAUCCGCGCCGCAUUAGCUAGUUGGUAAGGUAACGGCUUACCAAGGCAACGAUGCGUAGCCGACCUGAGAGGGUGAUCGGCCACACUGGAACUGAGACACGGUCCAGACUCCUACGGGAGGCAGCAGUAGGGAAUCUUCCGCAAUGGGCGAAAGCCUGACGGAGCAACGCCGCGUGAGUGAUAAAGGUCUUCGGAUCGUAAAACUCUGUUAUUAGGGAAGAACAAAUGUGUAAGUAACUAUGCACGUCUUGACGGUACCUAAUCAGAAAGCCACGGCUAACUACGUG